rnacentral:rRNA from 1 species
GACAGAGGGUGCAAACGUUGCUCGGAAUCACUGGGCGUAAAGGGCGUGUAGGCGGGAGAGAAAGUCGGGCGUGAAAUCCCUAGGCUCAACCUAGGAACUGCACUCGAAACUUCUUUUCUUGAGUGCCGGAGAGGAAAGCGGAAUACCUGGUGUAGAGGUGAAAUUCGUAGAUAUCAGGUGGAACACCAGUGGCGAAGGCGGGUUGCUGGGCUGACACUGACGCUGAAGCGCGAAAGCUAGGGGAGCGAACGGG